AACGCAUCUUGCACCCUUUGGUAUUCCGAAGGGUACACCCGUUUGAGUGUCAUUGUAAUCUCACUACAAUUACUUUGUGUUGUAGAUGGAUCUGGAUGCUGCCGUGUCACAAACGGCUCAUCUGAAAUGCAUGAGUGUACCCUGCUUUUGCGGCGUAUCCGGUGUGAUACACAUCUCCACCGCAGUUUGAUCCUUGGGAUCACGCCAGCUUAGUUAUGGGGGAUAUGCUUCCAACCGUCUUCAAAGAGACAACAUCUUGACAAUUUGACCUCAAAUCGGGUGGGACUACCCGCUGAACUUAA
rnacentral:misc_RNA from 1 species